rnacentral:tRNA from 1 species
GUUCUUGUAGUUGAGAGGCCAACGGUGGUUUUUCAGAUCACAGACCUUGGAGAAAAGCCAAGCAAGAACC